rnacentral:rRNA from 1 species
GAUGAACGCUGGCGGCGUGCCUAAUACAUGCAAGUCGAGCGAACGGACGAGAAGCUUGCUUCUCUGAUGUUAGCGGCGGACGGGUGAGUAACACGUGGAUAACCUACCUAUAAGACUGGGAUAACUUCGGGAAACCGGAGCUAAUACCGGAUGAUAUUUUGAACCGCAUGGUUCAAAAGUGAAAGACGGUCUUGCUGUCACUUAUAGAUGGAUCCGCGCUGCAUUAGCUAGUUGGUAAGGUAACGGCUUACCAAGGCAACGAUGCAUAGCCGACCUGAGAGGGUGAUCGGCCACACUGGAACUGAGACACGGUCCAGACUCCUACGAGAGGCAGCAGUAGGGAAUCUUCCGCAAAGGGCGAAAGCCUGACGGAGCAACGCCGCGUGAGUGAUGAAGGUCUUCGGAUCGUAAAACUCUGUUAUUAGGGAAGAACAUAUGUGUAAGUAACUGUGCACAUCUUGACGGUACCUAAUCAGAAAGCCACGGCUAACUACGUG